AGUUCAGGACUCGAUUGCAGGUUGAUAAAUACAGUUUGGGAGCUGGACUUUUUCACCACAUCCAUCCUAGGAAUGUUCGGAAGCAAUUCAUGACGAGUUGUGCGUGAUAAAGCUUGAACCUUCCCCAGGUUCCCCAGCCUGCUUGCAGAACU